UUUUUUUUUUUUUUUAUCUUUUGUCCUUUUAGGGCCACAUCCACAGCAUGUGGAGGUUCCCAGGCUAGGGGUUGAAUCAGAGCUGUAGCUGCCGGCCUAUACCACAGCCAAAGCAACACCAGAUCCGAGCCAUGUCUGAGACCUACACCACAGCUCCUGGCAAUGUUGGAUGCUUAACCCACUGAGCGAGGCCAGGGAUCAAACCCUCAACCUCAUGGUUCCUAGUCAGAUUCACUUCCACUGCAUCAUGAUGGGAACUCCAGAGAAGUCUGUUCUUUAUGUCUGUUUCUCUUUUGUAGAUAAGUUCAUUUGUGCCCUAUUUUAGAUUCCGUGUAUAAAUGAUAUCAUUGCAGCACUAUUCACAAUACCCAAGACAUGGAAACAAUGCAAUUGUCCAUCUACAGAUGAAUGGAUUCAGAAGAUGUGGCUUCUCUAUACAAUGGGAUACUACUCGGCCAUAAAAAAGAACAAAAUAAUGCCAUUUGCAGCAACAUGGAUGCAACUAGAGAGUCUCAUACUAAGUGAAGUAACUCAGAAAGAGAAAGACAAAUAAGCUUGGAACUUUUGAAGGCCCUCCGAGACCACCUUACAACCAGCAGCAUCUAUAAGCCAGUGGAGAGCUACCAACACCAGCUCUCAUACCCUGACUGCAAGGGGGAUAUUUGGGAAUGGUGGGUCCUUAGCCAUCAGACCUUCAAUUCUUUUCAAUGAUAGAUACUGCUUAGCGCUAGAAAUAUAAAGAGAUAUAAGUCACAAUCCCUGUGUUCUAAGAGCUUUGUUGUCCUAUGGGAAGACGAGCAAAGGAGAUCAUUUCAAUUAACGUGAUUUAAGACUGAAGAUAUGCUGGGAGCAAUAGGAGACACGAGAGGGACAGAAUGCCCCAUCACAGAUACAGGUAAGGCUUCAGGGAGGCAGUGACCCUUGAGCUGAAUCUUAAAAGAUGCACUUGAUUUCUCCAGAAGAGAUGACCCUGAGGAUGUUGGAAACAGCAUGGCCUGUGGGUGGAACCACAUGCCGCUGGAGUGGUGGUCACUGCCCACACCUUUCUUCUACUCUCCCUGCAGAAUUAGCACCAACUGUGUCCACUGGCCUCUUGCCCCCAAGUCUAGGCUCCAAGAGAAUAUGGUGACUGCUUUCUUACUACUCCCUUUUGCUCUGAUCAGAGUCUGCCCUAUGGCCCGUCCAUGCUUGGCAAAGCAGCAGCCAGUCUAAAGGAGGUUUGGUGGUUCCUGCCAAGACCUGAAACUUUUCCAAGUUAUAUCCUGCCUGUACAUCUCCUAUUAUGCUUCCUUCCUUCUACCAGGGGACCCUAGCCCUUGGCAUAUACUACCUUAGAACAGCUCUGUCGUGAAUCUGAUAAAUAGAAAGCCUUACCAACACAAAACCUGUAUCAUAAUUGCACUUCUGAGGUCAUCCCAGGAAAGAGAAAACAGAAAAUAGUUUAUUCUGUAGAACAAAAUCUACCUGUUCUUGAGAGUCUGUUUGUCCCUAUGUAGUUGUUUUUUUGUUUGUUUGUUUGUUUUGUUUUGUUUUUUUUAUGCUUUGUAGGGCUGCACUCACAGCACAUAGAUGUUCCCAGGCUAUGGAUCGAAUCAGAGCUGCAGCUGCCAGCCUAUGCUGUGAGGGAGGCAAGCCGUGUCUGCAACCUACGCCACAGCUCACGGCAGUGUUGGAUUCCCCAGGCCACUGAGCAAGGCCAGGGAUCAAACGUGCAUCCUCAUGGAUACUAGUCGGAUUCAUUUCUGCUGUGCCACGAAGGGAACUCCCUGGUUCCUCUCUCUGAAAGGAUUUUCAAGGUCAGUUUACUGACCUCGUGCCUUACAAUAAUGUACCUCUUUUGUGUCAGAGGCCUUGGAGAAGGCCCUUUAUAGAAACUGCAGCUUUUGCUUUUACUCUGUUGCCUUUCAACAGCUCCAGUGUACCUUCUCUACUGCCGGAGGACUUCACCUGUGCACAGAGUAAGAUUUCUGGUAGAUUAAGAGAGAGGGUCCUGGAGUUUCCAGCAUGGCUCAGCAGUUAAUGAACCCAGCUAGCAUCCAUGAGGACUCUGGUUCAAUCCCUGGCCUCCCUCAGUGGGUUAAGGAUCCAGCAUUGCUGUGAGCUGUGGUGUAGGUCGCAGAGGCAGCUCAGGUCCCACGCUGCUGUGGCUGUGGCGUAGGCUGGCGGCUACAGCUUCCAUUAGACCCCUAGCCUGGGAACCUCCAUAUGCUAUGGGUGUGGCUCUGAAAAAAAAAAAAAGAGAGAGAGAGAGAGAGAGGCUCCUGGAGAUGGAAGAAGUUCCCUUGUUCCCAUCUCCUCUUAUCCUCACAAGUAUGCAAAUAGAAGAGAAGAUUCUGUCCCCCGUGGAUAAUUCAACUUCUGAGAGUAAAGCUAAUCCUGGGUUUUCUGCACUCCAAGAUAUCUCUAAAGAUCUUCAAAGAGUGUUACCAGAUCCUUAAAACUCAGUUUUAAAAAAUCAGUUCUUGGAGUUCCUGUCCUGGCGCAGUGGUUAACGAAUCUCACCAAGAACCAUGAGGUUGCAGGUUCAAUCCCUUGCCUUGCUCAGUGGGUUAAUGAUCCAGUGUUGCCCUGAGCUGUGGUGUAGGUAGCAGAUGUGGCUCAGAUCCCGAGUUGCUGUGGCUGUGGAGUAGGCCGGCGGUUACAGCUCCGAUUAGACCCCUAGCCUGGGAACCUUCAUAUGCCGCGGGAGUGGCCCUAGAAAAGACAAAAAAAUAAUAAAUUAAUUUAAAAAAUAAAAAAAUAAAAAUAAAAAAUAAAAAAAUCAAUUCUUUUUACCUUCAACUAGAAAAAAAUUUGCCACUCAAUACUUUUAGAUUAAGAGGGGACCUCCAUCCCCUGUAAUCUCACAACCCCAAAGAUAUUAUCAGCCACACAGUCUUUGGUUCUGUUUCUCCAGCAUCCUCUGAACUCUUUGUUCUCUAAAUAACUGAACAAAGGAUAUUCAAGGAAAGAUCACAAGAUUGUUUAUGGAGCGAACACCUAGUGUGGUUUUUAAGUUCUCAACUUGCCUUUCUGUGCCUGCGACUUCACAUUUCACCAGCGGGGAUGAUGUUCUCACACAUCCGCCAUCUCACAAGGUUCUUGGAUGAGAAAUCAGAUGUUGUUUUUGAGUGUCUGAAACUUUAAGUCUGAAACUUUCUUCAUGUGAGGAACGUCACCUCCCAAAGUGGCGGCAGUGCUUU
rnacentral:lncRNA from 1 species